rnacentral:rRNA from 1 species
AUUGAACGCUGGCGGCAUGCCUUACACAUGCAAGUCGAACGGUAACAGGUCUUCGGACGCUGACGAGUGGCGAACGGGUGAGUAAUACAUCGGAACGUGCCCAGUCGUGGGGGAUAACUACUCGAAAGAGUAGCUAAUACCGCAUACGAUCUGAGGAUGAAAGCGGGGGACCUUCGGGCCUCGCGCGAUUGGAGCGGCCGAUGGCAGAUUAGGUAGUUGGUGGGAUAAAAGCUUACCAAGCCGACGAUCUGUAGCUGGUCUGAGAGGACGACCAGCCACACUGGGACUGAGACACGGCCCAGACUCCUACGGGAGGCAGCAGUGGGGAAUUUUGGACAGUGGGCGAAAGCCUGAUCCAGCAAUGCCGCGUGCAGGAUGAAGGCCUUCGGGUUGUAAACUGCUUUUGUACGGAACGAAAAAGCUUCUCCUAAUACGAGAGGCCCAUGACGGUACCGUAAGAAUAAGCACCGGCUAACUACGUG